rnacentral:rRNA from 1 species
CCUACGGGAGGCAGCAGUGGGGAAUAUUGGACAAUGGGCGCAAGCCUGAUCCAGCCAUACCGCGUGUGUGAAGAAGGCCUUUUGGUUGUAAAGCACUUUAAGCGAGGAGGAGGCUCUUGAGGAUAAUACCCUUGAUGAGUGGACGUUACUCGCAGAAUAAGCACCGGCUAACUCUGUGCCAGCAGCCGCGGUAAUACAGAGGGUGCGAGCGUUAAUCGGAAUUACUGGGCGUAAAGCGCGCGUAGGCGGCUUGUUAAGUCGGAUGUGAAAUCCCCGGGCUCAACCUGGGCACUGCAUUCGAUACUGGCAAGCUAGAGUAUGGGAGAGGAAGGUAGAAUUCCAGGUGUAGCGGUGAAAUGCGUAGAGAUCUGGAGGAAUACCGAUGGCGAAGGCAGCCUUCUGGCCUAAUACUGACGCUGAGGUGCGAAAGCAUGGGGAGCAAACAGGAUUAGAUACCCUGGUAGUCCAUGCCGUAAACGAUGUCAACUAGCCGUUGGGGACCUUGAGUCUUUAGUGGCGCAGCUAACGCGAUAAGUUGACCGCUGGGGAGUACGGUCGCGAAGACUAAAACUCGAAAGGAUUGACGG